CAUAAAAUCAAGAAGGCAAAACGGAGAGAGGUUUUUUUUUCACAGCUCUAGUGUUUGCCCUCUCUCCACCACUUAUGCUGCUUUGGUGUCUACUUUAAAAGGUGGAAGUAUUCAUUAGCAGCUCUGCAGUUCUCCUGAAGAAAAGACCGGAUCCUACCGUAUCUAAUGGCUCUGAAUCAGUGUGGCUGAAAUCCCUGCUCGGAGACAAAAAUGGAAAUGCUCUCCCUGCAAUCACAGCCUUUCAUCCAGCCCACUAGGAAAUAUCGUGUCUAUUAGCCAUUAGCUGAUCUGAUAUCCUGGUUUAGACAGCUCAGGCGUCUCUCUGUGUGGCUGUUUGGAGGGAGACUGAAGAGAUUGCAGGCUUCGACCCAUGUGUCUGUUGAUUGACUCAAAUCAACCAAACUGUGGCCCAGAUCAGGCUGUCUGGAAACAGAUGUCCAUUGGUGAUUGAUUUGAUUGGCUGUCUAAUGCAUUGCCAAAUGUGUGUGAAUGCUCUGGAAGAGUCAAGGAGUCAUGUUACGAUGUGUUUGUUAGAAACAGGUUGUAAAAAUACGUUGGCAGAUUUAACAAUGUGAUGAUGGAUGUCAACAUACUUCUUGGAGUGAAGAUACAUUUUAGGAAAUGAUUCACCAAUGAAAUUAUAUAUGAUUAUGUAUAUUUCUAUUAAAAAAACGUCUUUAUGAAAAAUAGCAGCUUUGAGGUCCUGUCCUUCAGAACAUCAUUUAGGCACAUCUGUUAACUUUCAAUAAUAUUCUGAAGGAAUUUAAUUUGUGUUUUGCAAUAAGAUUAUACAUAUUAUAAAUGGAAUCAUGUGUAAUACUUUGUUCUCAGAACAGGUAAUGCUAUCCCAUAUCCAAAUUCCAUAACGUUGUAGGUACACUAAGAACAUUGUUUUGGAAGUGUUGUUAACUAUGCAGCUAAUCGUUCAAAAGGGAA